rnacentral:rRNA from 1 species
UACGUAGGGGGCGAGCGUUAUCCGGAUUUAUUGGGCGUAAAGCGUGUGUAGGCGGUUUAUUAAGUAUAAGAUUAAAGCCUGGAGCUUAACUCCAGUUCGUUUUAUAAACUGGUAGACUUGAGUAUGGUAGAGGCAAAUGGAAUUUCUAGUGUAGCGGUAAAAUGCGUAGAUAUUAGAAGGAACACCGGUGGCGAAGGCGAUUUGCUGGGCCAUUACUGACGCUGAGACACGAAAGCGUGGGGAGCAAAUAGGAUUAGAUACCCUAGUAGUCCACGCCGUAAACGAUGAGUACUAAGUGUUGGGAUUUCCCAGUGCUGAAGUUAACACAUUAAGUACUCCGCCUGAGUAGUACGGUCGCAAGGCUGAA